rnacentral:lncRNA from 1 species
GUUUUCGUAAUUUUAAAUUGUGUCAGAUCAAUUGAAUUGAUCUGACACAAUAGAUUUAUGAAAUUUAUAUUUAAAAUUAGCAUGCGUGCAACAUUUUAAUCUUUCCCAUUAAUAUAUAUAUCAAAAUAUUUGUAAAAAUUUUGCCUACUUUCCGAAGGUAAGUGAGAAUUAUACUAGAUGCUAUUUGUUCGUAUGUGUCUGAAUAAUGCAUUGUAGGCAAAAUUGUCUGUGAUUGUCAGGCAAAAUUGAAAUAGCGCGGGUAAGUAUAUACGGGGUCCAGGUUAAAAAAGGAGUGUAAACGUAGUACAUUUACAACAACAACAUAUGCGCAAAUUCAUGUUUGUUUGAGAGAGUAAAAUAAAAUUGAAUUCAUAUAUUGAAUACAUGAAUAAAAAUAGACAAAUCAAAGAAACGAUUUAUUUUACAAACGAAUGGAAUUAUCUACACUUAUCAAUUUUACCGAUCGCAAACCGGUUGAAAUAUCACUCCUUAGACCAGGGUCAUAAAACUUUUUGCAAAGUGGGCCAGAUAACUGACAAAAUGACGAGUGCUGGCCGUAUAAUCAUUAUGUACAAUACUUGCAAG